rnacentral:lncRNA from 1 species
GAAAAUCAAAAAUUUUUAAAUGUUAGGGUUUCGAAAACCUAGAAAAGGUGAGAAAGACCUUGAAAGGUUACUGAUCUAGCCGAAGAAGUCACAGAUCCUACUCGAAUGACCAUGGAUGGCCAGAAAUGGAAUGGGAGGCUAGUGAACUACCACUGGUUCACUUGAGGGCCUAAAAAUGAUGACACAUGGUCAAGAGGGAACUAUAAGGUUGGUAGGUGGUGAAACUACCAUAGAUUCAGGAAAGGAGAUGGCCAGAGAAGGUGGGUAAAGUUCAUCUGAGAGGAGAGGAAGGAGGAAGGUUAUAGAGAAAACCAGAGAUAGAGAGAGAGAAAUAAGAGUUAGUUGAGUGAGAA